AGAGGAGGAGGAUAAGGAGACAACCAGAAGAGGUGGAAGAGAAGCAACUGUGGCACUACAGUUCUGAACUCUUUCUGAACUCAGGGAGGAGGAUAGGGAGAGAACUGGAAGAGGUGGAGGCCACACACCAUUUUUUGUCUCUUCUGAACCAAGAUGGAGAAAUGCCAAAGGAAAAAAUGCCAUGAAGUGUGAUUCCAUGGGAUGCAUGAGAAACAGUUGAAAUGCCGAAUGCAAAAUUUGUUUCUAGGGUGAAACAGAUAUAUACUCACUGGGAGAAGAACCAAGGAAUAAUCGAUGCUUAGGCUUUCAAACAGCAUACAGAUUGGCUUGUUAUUGGGAAGUGCCAGCCAAACACUACCUUAAAAUGCCUGCUGGAACAAGAAAGUCUUAGUCAUGUGCUCAACGUUCAGCAAAGAAGAUGCCUGUCUCAUGUCAGUUGGGAAGGAAUUCCACAGGCUUGGAGUCACAACACUGAUGGCAAGGCAGUAUGUAGGACGACUCUGCUGGACAGAUUACAGAUAAGUGGAUAGGCCGAAUCGGGGACCUAGCAGUAACAUCAGGGACUGAUCAUUUGCCACUUUUCUAAAUAGGUAUUCGUUCUUUUGCUCAGUGCUGUCUUGACAUUUGGGGGUUUGUCAAUUUCUUCUACCUUCUGUGCAUUAUUUUAGUAAUU